UGGGGAAUUUUGGACAAUGGGGGAAACCCUGAUCCAGCCAUCCCGCGUGUGCGAUGAAGGCCUUCGGGUUGUAAAGCACUUUUGGCAGGAAAGAAACGUCGCGGGUUAAUACCCCGCGAAACUGACGGUACCUGCAGAAUAAGCACCGGCUAACUACGUGCCAGCAGCCGCGGUAAUACGUAGGGUGCAAGCGUUAAUCGGAAUUACUGGGCGUAAAGCGUGCGCAGGCGGUUCGGAAAGAAAGAUGUGAAAUCCCAGAGCUUAACCUUGGAACUGCAUUUUUAACUACCGGGCUAGAGUGUGUCAGAGGGAGGUGGAAUUCCGCGUGUAGCAGUGAAAUGCGUAGAUAUGCGGAGGAACACCGAUGGCGAAGGCAGCCUCCUGGGAUAACACUGACGCUCAUGCACGAAAGCGUGGGGAGCAAACAGGAUUAGAUACCCUGGUAGUCCACGCCCUAAACGAUGUCAACUAGCUGUUGGGGCCUUCGGGCCUUGGUAGCGCAGCUAACGCGUGAAGUUGACCGCCU
rnacentral:rRNA from 1 species